rnacentral:misc_RNA from 1 species
GAUGAAGAACGCAGCGAAAUGCGAUAAGUAGUGUGAAUUGCAGAAUUCAGUGAAUCAUCGAAUCUUUGAACGCACAUUGCGCCCUUUGGUAUUCCUUAGGGCAUGCCCGUUCGAGCGUCAUUUAAACCUUCAAGCUAAGCUUGGUGUUGGGUGACUGUCCGCUUCACUGCGGACUCGCCUCAAAAUUAUUGGCGGCCGGUACAUUGGCUUCGAGCGCAGCAGAAACGCGAACUCGGGCCCGUCGUAUUGGCUCCCAGAAGCUAUCUUCACAAUUUUGACCUCGGAUCAGGUAGGGAUACCCGCUGAACUUAAGCAUAUCAAUAAGCGGAGGA